CAUCCCUAUUACGACCACCGCGAGCUACCCGGUAUAAAAGGGCAGGGCGCGGGCGCUCAGCAGCCUCUAAUUGCUAUCUUAGCCUCGCGUUAACACUCGUAUUUUAAGAGACGCAGUUUUUUUGAACGAAGAAAGACAAGACCACGCGGCCGCUGGCGGGGUCUCCCGUCAGCGGCCGCUCCAGCGAUGCAGUGCUGCGCGAGUCGAGCAGGCGACACGAUCGCCCUGCUGACUUCACCUGCACAUAAGAGACCUCGUCGUGAGCGUCCUCCUCGCCAGCGAUGCGGCGCUGCGCGGGUCGAGUAGACGCCACGACCACCCUGCAGACACUGCUUCGCUGAAGAAUAGACUCCCUUGUACAUAGAAUCUCCAUGACAGCGGCCGCCCCGUCUGCGAUGCCACGAUCACCCCUUGACUAAACAACAGACUUCCCCUUCUGACAGACUCCUGACAACACGCAAUGCACUACCACACACCUUUCUUUCUUACUUCUUUCCAUCCACCAACACAACUCCAUUCCAUACAACUUUUCCGUCUGUUCUACCACACACCUAUGCCUGGAAUCAGCUUAUUCCAUAAUUCUCCCGGGAGCUUGCCCUGGCUACAAGCCUCCAUGCAGUGGAGGCGUUGUUUGAGGCAGUGACAGCAUGAAAUACCCCACCACACCUAUGCCUGGAUUCAGCUGAUUCCAUAAAUCACCCGGGAUCUUGUCCUGCCACAGGCCUCCACACAGUGAAGGCUUUGUUUGAGGCAGUAACAGCAUGAAAUACCCCACCACACCUAUGCCUGGAUUCAGCUGAUUCCAUAAAUCACCCGGGAUCUUGUCCUGCCACAGGCCUCCACACAGUGAAGGCUUUGUUUGAGGCAGUAACAGCAUGAAAUACCCCACCACACCUAUGCCUGGAUUCAGCUGAUUCCAUAGUUCACCGGGAGCUUGUCCUGCUGACAGCCAAUCAAGGCUUCAUUGGAGAAAUUGACAACGCACGCCGCGUCUCACACACCUCAUCAUCAUCAUCAUCAGCCUGUGGACGUCCACUGUUGGACAUAGGCCUUCCCUAAAGAGCGCCACCACACCCGGUCCUCAGCCUUCCUCAUCCAGCCACUUCCCGCCAGCCGCUUUAUAUCGUCGGUCCAUCGUGCUGGAGGGCGUCCCACACUACGCUUGCUUAAACGCGGUCUCCACUCACACACCUAUGCUUGGAUUAUGUUGAUGCCAUCGAUGCGGCGCUGCGCGGGUCGAGUAGACGCCACGACCACCCUGCAGACACUGCUUCGCUGAAGAAUAGACUCCCUUGUACAUAGAAUCUCCAUGACAGCGGCCGCCCCGUCUGCGAUGCCACGAUCACCCCUUGACUAAACAACAGACUUCCCCUUCUGACAGACUCCUGACAACACGCAAUGCACUACCACACACCUUUCUUUCUUACUUCUUUCCAUCCACCAACACAACUCCAUUCCAUACAACUUUUCCGUCUGUUCUACCACACACCUAUGCCUGGAAUCAGCUUAUUCCAUAAUUCUCCCGGGAGCUUGCCCUGGCUACAAGCUUCCAUGCAGUGGAGGCGUUGUUUGAGGCAGUGACAGCAUGAAAUACCCCACCACACCUAUGCCUGGAUUCAGCUGAUUCCAUAAAUCACCCGGGAUCUUGUCCUGCCACAGGCCUCCACACAGUGAAGGCUUUGUUUGAGGCAGUAACAGCAUGAAAUACCCCACCACACCUAUGCCUGGAUUCAGCUGAUUCCAUAAAUCACCCGGGAUCUUGUCCUGCCACAGGCCUCCACACAGUGAAGGCUUUGUUUGAGGCAGUAACAGCAUGAAAUACCCCACCACACCUAUGCCUGGAUUCAGCUGAUUCCAUAUGUUAUUUUUCUUCCAGAGUUCACCGGGAGCUUGUCCUGCUGACAGCCAAUCAAGGCUUCAUUGGAGAAAUUGACAACGCACGCCGCGUCUCACACACCUAUGCUUGGAUUAUGUUGAUGCCAUAAUUCACCCCGGGAGCAUGGUGGCGGCCCCUAUUAUUUAUAAUGUCAAGCUACUAUAAUAUAACUAAGUAUGUUUAAAUGUAAGGCAGUUAUUUCAAAUUGUUAUUAUUAAUAUUAUUAGUUAUUAUGUGAAGCUAUAAUAUAACUAUGUUUAGAUGUAAGGCAAUUGUUUAAAAGUUACAAGUUUUGCAUUUAUAUAAGAUGUUAGAUGUUAAGUCGCUUAUAUGAUGGUCAACCACCUAGAUAAAAAUGCUGUUGUUACGAUAUUUACCCAUUUCAUAUUUGUUUAUUUCAUAAGAGUUCACCACCGUCAAAAUAUAAGGAAUAUAAGAUGAUUGUUUUGAAAGCUACUAUAAUAUAACAAUGUUUAGAUGUAAGGCAAUUGUUUAAAAGUUACAAGUUUUGCAUGUGUAUAAGAUGUUAGAUGUUAAGUCGCUUAUAAGCUGGUCACCUUCUAGAUAAAAAUGCUGUUGUUACGAUAUUUACCCAUUUCAUAUAUGUUUAUUUCAUAAGAGUUCACCACCAACAAAAGAUGCCGCUGUAUUUUGUUGUUGCAAUAUUUACCUACCCAUGUCAUAUUUGUUUAUUUCAUAAGAGUUCACCACCGUCAAAAUAUGUUGCUGUACCUAGUUGUUGUUGCUAAAUUUACCUACCUAUGUCAUAUUUGAUUCAAAACUCAAAACUCAAAUUAUUUUUAUUCAAUUAAACUUUUACAAGUGCU